rnacentral:sRNA from 1 species
CUAAUUAUAUCAUUUUGUUGUGUGAUGAUGUGUCAUUUAUACGGAGAGAGUUGACUAACUUUAUGUAAGUUCUUCAACUUCUAAUUUAUAGGUUAAU